rnacentral:tRNA from 1 species
CGACCACCUUGCGGAGCUUCGCGGUGGCCUCGUCGUUGCCGGUGACGGCGGCGAGCUGCACGGCGCGGCCGAGCUUGACCGUCGCGGUCGC